rnacentral:rRNA from 1 species
UGGCGGCAGGCUUAACACAUGCAAGUCGAGCGGUAGCAGAUCUAGCUUGCUAGAUGCUGGCGAGCGGCGGACGGGUGAGUAACGCGUAGGAACCUGCCCAGUAGUGGGGGAUAGCCCGGGGGAAACUCGGAUUAAUACCGCAUACGCUCUACGGAGGAAAAGAGGGGGGCUUCGGGCUCUCGCUAUUGGAUGGGCCUGCGUGAGAUUAGCUAGUUGGUGAGGUAAUGGCUCACCAAGGCGACGAUCUCUAGCUGGUCUGAGAGGAUGAUCAGCCACACUGGGACUGAGACACGGCCCAGACUCCUACGGGAGGCAGCAGUGGGGAAUAUUGCACAAUGGGCGCAAGCCUGAUGCAGCCAUGCCGCGUGUGUGAAGAAGGCUUUCGGGUUGUAAAGCACUUUCAGUGGGGAGGAAGGCCUCGUAGUUAAUAGCUGCGAGGAUUGACGUUACCCACAGAAGAAGCACCGGCUAACUCCGUG